ensembl:lncRNA novel transcript
UUAUCUUCCGUAUAAGCUUUGGAAGCAGUUUAGUGACAAUGGUACUCUUGUCUUUUUCUUGAUUUUAAAAGGAGUGAUUUCGAUAUUUUUAAUCACAAAACAUGAUAGGUGCUGUAGGUUAUUUGUUGACUCCUUUUAUCAGGUUAAGGAAAUUACCCUUUAUUCAUAGGUGGAAAUAUCAUGAAUUAUUUAAUUUUUGUAAAAUAAUUUUAUAGGCCUUUUGAGACAAUCAUAUAACUUUUGUCUUUAAUUCAUUGAUAAGGAGAUGAUUUCAGUAGAUUUUCUAACAUUGAACUAAAUUUGUAUUACUAACCGAGCUUGUUCAUGGUUUUUAUACUUUGCUAGGUAUACUUCCUAGUAUUUUGUUUACAAUAUUUGUCUCUGUGUGCAUGGAUGAGGUACACAAUAGCAAGGUUACCCUAGUCUCAAAUGAAUUGAAGAAUGGCCUCUUUUUUCUCCCCUCGCAAAUAAUUAGUGUAACAUUGGAACUACUUGUGACAUCAUCUGGGCAUCCUGUUUUCUUUGUAGAAUUAUUAAUUAUCAACUCAAUUACUUUAAUGGUAUGAUUUCCAUCCAGAUUUUCUAAUUAUUUGAGUCAACUUUAAUAAGUUAAAUGUAUCCAAAAAUUUGUUAAUCUCACUUAUUUACAAAUGCAUAUAUUUAAUUGUCUUAUUACUUAAUGAAAUAGAUCAUAAAUAUAAAAGUGUGUAUGUACAGCUUAAGAAGAAUAUAAAAUGAGCAUAUGUGUCCUUCCUUCAGGUUAUGAAAUAGAAUAUUUCCAGUAUCUUAGAAACUCCCAUUGCCCUUCUACAAUGCCACUCACUCCUUCCACAAGAGGUAACCACUAUCCCUAACUUCCUGUUAAUCAUUCCAUUGCUUGUCAUUACAGACUUGUAUAUUGUUUAGUUUUGCACAUUUGACUUUUUAAAUAAGUGAAACUAUGUAUUGUUUCUUAUGAUCAGAUAUGCAUACACACAAACAUGUAUAUGUAUGUAUAUAUACACACAUACACACAUUAUUUUUAAGAGCAGUUCAAAGUUCACAGCAAAACUGAGCAGCAGGUAUAGAUUUCCCAUAUACUCCCUGUCCCCCACACAUGCAUAGCCUCCCCCAUAAUAAACAUCCCCCACCAGAGUGGUGCAUUUGUUACAAUUAAAGAACCUACAUGAUACAUCUUAUAGUUUGCAUUAAGGUUCACACUUGGGCUUGGACAAAUUUACAAUGACAAGUAUUCACUAUUAAAAUAUCAUACACGUACUUUCACUGCCUUAAGCAUCCUCUGUGCUCUGGUUAUUCAUCCCUCUCUUCCUCCUAACUCCUGGGAACCACUGAUUUUUUUUUCUAUUUCUAUAGUAUUACCUUUUCCAGAAGGUCAUAAAGUUGGAAGUGACAUAUGUGGCCUUUUUAGAUUGGCUUCUUUCAUUCUGCAGUAUGCAUGUAAGCUUCCACUGUGUCUUUUCAUGGCUUGACAGCCAUUUAUUUUAUCAUUGAAUGGUAUUCAGUUGUCUGGAUGUAAUACAGUUUGUUUAAUUAUUCACCUACUGAAGGUAAUCUUGCUUGUCUCCAAAUUUUUGCAAUUAUAAAUAAAACGUCCAUAAACAUCUGUGUGCAGGUUUCUGUGUGGACAUAAGUUUUCAACUCCUUUGGGUAUAUACCAAGAAACAAGAUUGCGGGGUCGUAUAAUAAGAGUAGAUUUAGUUUUCUAAGAUGCCACAAAACUAUUCUCCAUUUUGUAUUUCCAUCAGCACUGAAUGAGAGUUCCUGUUGCUUCACAUCCUCAUCAGCAUUUGGUGUUGUCAGAGUUCUGGAUUUUUGCCAUUCUAAUAUGCAUGCAGUAGUAUCUCAUUGCAGUGCUGUGUUUGAGAAUGUGAGUAGCUGCAGUUCAUUCACUCUUAGUGCUGCGAGGUACUCUAUUAUUGGAAUAUAUGAUCAUUUAGUUACCUAUUCCACAAUCUACCCAUAUUGAGAGAUAACUGGAUUGUUUCCAGGUUUUUAAAAUUGUGAACAUUCUCAUAUAUCCCUAGGUAAACAAAUGCAAGAAUUUUUCUGGGGCCUGUAACAGGCUGACUAGAUUGCACUAGGUUGUAGUGAAGCCGCUGGGUCAGAGGGUACAUGCAUGAUCAGCUGUAUGAGCUAACAUCCGUUUUCCAAAUGGCUGUCCUUCUACUUGCAUGGGAUGAAUGCUUCCACGGUUCUUUAUCCUUGCCAAUACUACACCUUUCAGAACUUCCAAAAAAUUUUGUCAAUAUGUGUGAAAGGGUAUCUAAUUGUUAAUUUUCAUUUUCAUGAUUAUUAUUAGGUUGAGCACUUUUUCACAUGCUUAUGGGCUAUUUAUGCUAACUUCUUGAGGUGUUAUUUUUCACUUAUUAAUUUAUAGGAGAGCUUUAUAUAUUCUGGAUACUAAACCUGUCUAGGUAACAUGUGUUGCAAAUAUCUCUGCCAAGUUUUGCAUAUUUUUUUCUCAUUGCGGUAUCCAAUAAACAGAAGUCUUAAAUUUUUAUGUGAUCAAGUUAGUUUUUACUCUUGCCGUUUGUUCUUCUUCCCUAUGUAAAGAUAAAAGAGAUGCUCCACAGUUUUUUUCUAAGAAUGUUGAGAAGGUAUCUUUAUCCAUUAAAAUAUAUUUUUAGGUUUGGUCUAUGGGAUUAAGUUUCAAUUUCCUUUUUUCCCCCUUAUGGAGACCAGUGGUCCCAGUGUUGCUUAUUGUAAAAUUUACUAUCUUCACUUAACCACAAUAAAAGCUGUGUUACAAAAUAUGUUUCCAAGUAUGUGUGAAAAAUAUAUUUAUCUUUAUGAUUCUACUCAGAUUAAUUAGCUCUCAGGACUGCUGUGUCCAGAGUUGAUUCCUUCUGGUGGGUUCGUGGUGUUGCUGACUUGAAGAAUGAAGCCGCCGACCUUCACGAGCGCUGAUUGGUGUGUUUUACAGAGCAUGGAUUGGUGCGUUUUACAGAGCGCUGAUUGGUACAUUUCACAGAACUCGUGAGACAGUCGCAGGUGGCAUGAUUUGAUUUGUGUGAAGGCAAUGAAAUGAUACACAGAUACACCGAAGCCUCCCAAAAGAAUCCUGGUUCCAAGAUUCAAGAAGAUGGAUUAAUGUUUUUCCAUUAAUUGUUGGAAUUUAUGCCAUUUUUUUACUAUGUGCCAUCAAUUUUAAAGCACUUCUGAAAAGAGAUAACAAUCUACAAUAGCUGGCAUUUUAAAUUCAUAAAAAUAUAGUAUUUUCUUCUAUUUUUAUACAUUUAUGAUGCAUUAUUUCUUAUUUCCCAGGAAUUUUACUACCUUUGUUUUGAAUGAUUAAAAAGGAAACAUAGCACCUUUUUUCAACACAUCACCAAGAUAGCCUAGUUAAUAUUCUUCUCUUUCUGAAGUAGUUGAAUUGGGAGAGACAGCUUGCCAGGCCUGCUGCCACUUGUCAGCAUCGCAUCCCUACAUUCAACCACACUUGCAUCUAACGACCGUCUCUUUCAUUAAAUUUCUUUUGCACCUUUUCUUCCUGAAUGAGUGCAUGAUAGUUAAUUUUCCUGUGCACUUGCAUGUCUCAAGAAGGUUUUAAUUCUUUUUGUAUUGCAUUAAUAUUUAAGUUAAGUUUAUAAUUGCAAAAUGAUUUAUACUCACAA